GAGAAACUGGCGAAGGUGAGGAGUGGAUCCUCGCUGUGGAGACCUGGACUGCGCGAGAGACGCUGUUAGUUCUGUGCACCCUGCUCUGCAAUUGGCCACCAUGGAGAUGAGCCAAUCUGGAGAGGCGAGGAAUAAGGGCGAAUUUUGUACCACGUGGAGGGCGCUGUCCUCAGAGGGCACCGCCUCCAUCUGCAUCAAAUCACCGCAAGAGACCUGGACUGCGCGAGAGACGCUGUUAGUUCUGUGCACCCUGCUCUGCAAUUGGCCACCAUGGAGAUGAGCCAAUCUGGAGAGGCGAGGAAUAAGGGCGAAUUUUGUACCACGUGGAGGGCGCUGUCCUCAGAGGGCACCGCCUCCAUCUGCAUCAAAUCACCGCAAGGCGUCGCCACCCCACGCCAGCAGGGGGCGGCAUAAGGGUAGCCGGUUCGUGAAGACCCGGCCCACGCCGCCUGGAACCCCCCUCCCACCUUCUCGGAGCUCCGGACCCCAGCAAGCCUCCCGAGGAAGAUGCUGAAGGAAAGCGCUGGUGCGUUCACGGAGGAUCGCAGCUUCCCAGGUCCGCGCUGCCAGGGUCACCUUGUAGGGGAAGUGUGGCCACCGAAUGGAGAACUUGGCAACUUGUGAGGAGACGGAGCAUUGUAGGAGAGGAGCGCAGGGAGGGGGAUGGAGGUCAGACGUUGCACGAGAGGAGGCGAGUCACGUCUGAAUGCCUACGAGAUGGAGGAGAGCACCGGCCUCGCUGAAACCGGGGGCUUCCAUGCAAAAGAAUCGACGAGAUUAAAAAAAAACAAGGAAAAAAAUCGAGCGUGUUGUGAGGAUUUAUAGACAGUGGAGAAGUAUCAAGAGGCGUGAUAAGGGAGGGUGGCUUGCUACAAGGGGUAGGAGUGGUCCCUUCAUCGCGCCUUCUUCUCUCGUGAUUAGACUGCUCUUUCUCUCCAUCGCGACGCUUAAUGUUUACUUUCAGCCGGGAAUAAUUUUGCACUCGCACUCACCAGCGUGGUGAAAUAUGAUCAAAUGACCCCCAUUGUUAAUGCGACGUACGGGAGGGGCCUUCAUCCGUUGUUGUGCUGAGAAUGACUGGAAUGGAU